GUAGGGCAUCACAGAAGGAGCCAUGCCUUGGGAUUCCUUCCUCAUUGCUUAGUCACUGAGUCAGGAGGGAGCCAGAGCUUUGAGGGUUGGAUUCUGUGACAAUUAGGGGACUGGGAGAUCAUAUAGAUGUGUUUUUCCAGCUGAGCACUGGAAGUGAUGAAAUGAAUGUGGCCUGAUGAGUUCCCCUUUGCCUUGCAGGAAAGCACCCCCUCAAAAGCAGGCUCAGCUGCUGGCGCUGGUGACUCAACUUCAAAGGCUGCCUCCCUCCAGCCAGUGAAGCAUAUAAUAACAGAUACAAGUUCAGCAAUUUUGUUAUUAGCCUGUGACAUGUGACCAUCAAGGGACAAAUGCUCACCUGAGAUCCAGCGAGGCCUAGAACCUGGGAUGAUGUAUCAGUCCAGGAUCUCUCUCUCUCUCCCACUGUCUCUAUCUUUGUCUCCCCCCUCUCUCUUACACACAGCCCCCCCUGAAGUGAAGGGUUGUCUGGGGACACACCCAAAG
rnacentral:lncRNA from 1 species